GGGGGAGGAGACAAGACUGCGGGAACCAGGGCUCCAGAGGAGGGAGGGACAGAGCCGAGCUCAGAAUCCCUGGCAGAGUCUGGGAUGCAGGCAAGCUGAAGUGAGUGGUCUUCUCAAUCAGGUGGCCUUGCAUCCUGGCAAACAGGUACAGGGGAGACAGCCUGGGCACUGGAUUCACACGGAAGUUCUACACUUGCUCUCCCAGCAUGAGGCCCUGGCCGGGUGCAAAAUGAAACUGUGGAGGUCCCAGCAGCGGCAUUUUGAUUGAAAGUUAAUCUCCUCUUCCCAUAGGCCCACCGCCUCCAACUCACUGCUGACAGAUGGCGAUCACAGAACACUGCCGCCCAAGCACAGGGCCCUUCUGAGGGUUGGCCCUGGGUGACUGCACUGGUGACACACCCAAGAAGCUAGCCCUGGUCGCUUUGGCUGCUGUGUGGACAACGGGUUAGAAGGACAGAGCUGGAGGUGGGCAGGAGGCCACGCUACAAGGACAGAGCCCCCAACCCAGGCCUGGG